rnacentral:rRNA from 1 species
UAACUAGUCAAAACAAGCAAGACGAAAUUAAAGUAUGUCCCCCCGAAACUAAGCGAGCUACUUCAAAACAGCCCAAGAGCCAACCCGUCUCUGUUGCAAAAGAGUGGGAAGAUUUUCAAGUAGAAGUGAUAAACCUAUCGAGCUUAGAGAUAGCUGGUUAUUUGGGAAAAGAAUAUAAGUUCUACCUCAAGUUUUCUUGUAUAUUACAAUACAUAAUUGAACUUAAGAGCUAUUCAAAUAAGGAACAGCCUAUUUGAUACAGGAUACAACCUGAAAAAUAGGGUAACGCAACAGUAUUAUAAUGAUUAAGUUGGCCUGAAAGCAGCCACCUUUAAAAAAGCGUCAAAGCUUUAUCAUUAAUUAUUAAGAAUCCCAGAUACAAAGCUGAACCCGACAUCACUACCAAAUAACUUCAUUCUGUUAUGAAAAAUAUUAUGUUAGAACUAGUAAUAAGAAUUUGAAAUUCUCUGAAAUAU